AUUGAACGCUGGCGGCAGGCCUAACACAUGCAAGUCGAGCGAGCGGCGGACGGGUGAGUAAUGUAUGGGGACUGCCCGAUAGCGGGGAAUAACUACUGGAAACGGUGGCUAAUACCGCAUACUAUCGGAUAACCCAUAUGGGAUUAGCUAGUAGGGGGGGUAAAGGCUCACCUAGGCGACGAUCUCUAGCUGGUCUGAGAGGAUGAUCAGCCACACUGGGGCGGAGAUACGGCCCAGACACCUACGGAGGCAGCAGUGGGGAAUAUGGAACAAUGGGCGCAAGAAUGAAGCAGCCAAGCCGCGUGUAUGAAGAAGGCCUUAGAGUUGUAAAGCACUUUCAGCGGGGAGGCGGUACCCGAAGAAGAAGAACCGGCUAACUCCGUGCCAGCAGCCGAGGUAAUAC
rnacentral:rRNA from 1 species